ensembl:lncRNA
UGGGAGCAGGGCCGGGCGGGGUAUCCCUCCUGGGAGCAGGGCCGGGCGGGGUAUCCCUCCUGGGAGCAGGGCCGGGCGGGGUAUCCCUCCUGAGAGCAGGGCCUGGCGGGGUAUCCCUCCUGGGAACAGGGCCUGGCGGGGUAUCCCUCCAUAGAACAGGGCCUGGCGGGCCAUCCCUCCUGGGAAUAGGAGCAGGUGGAGUUCCCCUCCUGGGAAGAGGGCCUGGCGGGUUAUCCCUUCUAACGGGAGAGCGGUCUCGUACUGUAGCAUAGGGGUCCCUGGCAGUGCCAGUUGGGUAGGAGCCCAGGUCCCUUCUUAAAAAAUCCUCAGAGUCCUUCCUGCAGAAAAGACCGAGAUACAGAGAGAGAGAGACAACGAGAGAAAUGAAAGGGCUAAUUCAUUCAGGUCCACUCUAUGACAGAACUAAGGCUAUAGCUUUACACAACUAAGUGUAAAAUGAAAGAAAAAAAAUUAAAAAGUAGACAUCAAAUGAAGUGUCUGGACUGAGAAACAUAAGUGGGUUCAAUCUUCAAAAACAGCAGAACUGAUUUUCUAGAAAACAACUUCAUUUCUCAAAAACCCAACUGCCGGUUAGCACCCAGGUGCACCAGGAACAAAUGGGCCUACCCUCGGCCCAAGAGAAUCAGGGCCUGAAUGAGCUUAGGGUCUAUUCUGUCCAGGUGGGCCGAAGACAGAGUCCUCAUGAGAGGAGCUAAGUCUUGACCUCUGUGGGUGGGGGGGAGACCUGUUCCACUGCUGUCCCUAAAAUAAACACAAAAAUACAAACAAUAAAGUAGAACGAUGUUUAAAAAGACUGAUUUAAAUCAAAGUGAAGGCUUUACCAUUAAAAAAAAAAAACAUAUGAAGAAAACACUACCUAUAAUAAUAGUUCUGACUAGUUCACACUAAAUGAUAAGCCAAUUAAUUAAUUAAUUACCGUAACUUCACCUAGACCCACUCAACAAAGGCUUUACGCUGGAAUUUUCUCAUGUAGCAUGUGUGCUCUCCUACCCUAAGUUGUAAAAGGAAUGCACACACAAAUACAUUUUGGUGUGUAACGGAAUAUUUGAGCUAAUAAAGCUCGAAUACAGACGCAAUCAGUCGCUGAUGGUUUCGAUUCGUGAAAAAUAAUUUGCCCUAACCAUUUAAGUUCAGUUGAAAUUAGCCAACUUAGCUUAAAUGACGCCAAAUUAUGACUCUUACUUAAAAAACACGGCUGAUUGGUUCCACAGAAGACCGACAUUUCAUGUGCGCUGUGUGACCACUAUUAUGUAAAAGGAAAAGUAUUCCUCUUCAGAAGCCAAAUGUGGUGUUUUGUGCUGCCACUGCAGCUCUCAUAUCACAACAUUACCUUGAAAGGCCACAUGAACGGAGGCGGAAACAAGGCCACUGGUGGGUAGGUUUCCAAUAGGACAGAACGAGGACCUUCCUGUGAUCGCUAUUGUACAGUACAUAUGUAAACGUGUAUGUAUCUACUCUUAUGACAGUCACCACAAGGUAUUAGAAUCUUCAUUUAGGUUACCUUGGAUCAAUGAUUACACGGUCGCGUACAUUUGUUUUUGGUAGGGUUGUGGGCCCAAUAUCAUUGUGUGUACAUGGUCGUUUUAUUUUUCUGUGCAAAGAUUACUGGAAAUGUCAGUUAGAUUUUAAUAAAGUUACACAGAACUUAAUUACAGUUCUAUGAAUGGCACUAUGAAUGAGUGCAAGCUCCAAUUUCUUUCAGGACAUUACAUUUCAAAAUGAUAGUAAUUUAACAGAUGCACUUAACCAGAGUGACAUACAGUGAGUCAAUUCAUCUUAAGACAGCUUGCCAGGCACACCCCAAAACUCAGCAGUAGUCAAUACACUCAAUACGCUAUCAGCAUAGUUAUGCUAAAAGGAAGUAAAAACAAUUUGCAAUCAUUAGUUCACAAAACAAAAAGGCACUUUUACUGGAAGAUAGCGGAGCUAGCAGAGGAGCAUGGGAACCCCGAAAAAAUCUGGAAAGGCAGACGCCAAGUGUGAAUCGGCAUUCCCUACGGUAGCAUUCCCUACGGUAGCAUUCCCUACGGUAGCAUUCCCUACGGUAGCAUUCCCUACGGUAGCAUUCCCUACGGUAGCAUUCCCUACGGUAGCAUUCCCUACCAACGGUUGCGGAAGCCCAGAACUGUGAUCCCAAGACACUUCUUUAGAAACGGCACUGUGUCCAGUGUGAGGUAAAGCUACUCAUGUUCCAUUAACAGUGAACAGGACACACUUGCCUAAGGCUUGCGUCACUCGGCCCAGUUGAGCGUCAUCUGCGCACCACAAUCAGCUUGGGCAGUGAAGAGCCUCGGUGAGAGGAGAGCGCUGUCAGUUCAGGUUACCAGUCUUGAAGCCUGACUGGUCGAGGUCAGGGAGAUUGUUCUGAGAGAAUUAACAGGAGAGAUGGUGAGAGACAGCACGCUCAAUGCUUUGGUUUUGAUGCCUGGGGGGGGUCAAUCGCUUGUUUUUGAGGAUGUCACUCUGGGCAUCUGGAGGUUAGAGGGGUCAAUGCCACACAGGGAAUGGCGUUGUAAGUCUUCACGGCCUCCUGGUCCAUGGCCACACACGUAUUGAAAGACUUUGCACAGCCCUUCAACUGGAAGUUGUCUAGUGGACUACAAUAAAGAGGGCAGGGUAUUGCAGUUGCAUUUGCUGUGACGUUUCAAUGCCAAAA